AAAUUUACUUUCUUUAUUUUAUAAAAAAAAAUUAAUUUUUGAUUAAAAAAGUUCAAAUUAAAUUGAAGGACGAGAAGACCCUAUAGAACUUUAUUUUUAUUUAAUUAUAUUAUAUUUUGUUAAUAAUAAUUAUAUAAAUAUAUAAAAAUUUUACUGGGGUGGUAGAAAAAAUUUCUUAACUUUUUUUAAUUAUGUCAUUUAUAUAUGAUUUUAUGAUCCUUUAUUAUGGAAAAAAGAUUAAGUUACCUUAGGGAUAACAGCGUUAUUAUUUUGGAGAGCUCUAAUUGAUAAAAUAGUUUGCGACCUCGAUGUUGGAUUAAAAUAAGUUUCAGGAGUAGAAGAUUGAUUAACUAGGUC
rnacentral:rRNA from 1 species